GGGGUUGUUACGGAUUCGACAGGCAUUAUGAGGCUUGUUCUGCAACUCAUCGGCAGAUGUAAAAAUGCCAGUUAAAUAUAACUGCAAAAAAUACAAACACUUACGCAUUAGCAGCUUAAUAACCUGCCUGCGUGACCAGUCGCGAAUUGCUUGUGUUUGCUGAUUGGUCUUAAAAUAGCAAGCUACGUUGGGAUUGAGUCAGGCAGUUCCAAAAGAGAUUUACUGACUCGCUUGGUCUAGGUUUGAGUUAUGUAUCGAGUUCAAGUUAAAGUUAAAGCAAGACAUAACCUAUGGUUGUAGACGAAUAAGUUAGCAGGUGUUUGGACGUGGGUUCGACUCCCACCAGCUCCAUAU
rfam:Streptococcus phage phi30c, complete genome.